AUUGAACGCUGGCGGCAUGCCUUACACAUGCAAGUCGAACGGCAGCACGGGUGCUUGCACCUGGUGGCGAGUGGCGAACGGGUGAGUAAUACAUCGGAACGUACCUUAUCGUGGGGGAUAACGCAGCGAAAGCUGUGCUAAUACCGCAUACGCCCUGAGGGGGAAAGCGGGGGAUCGCAAGACCUCGCGCGAUUAGAGCGGCCGAUGCCUGAUUAGCUUGUUGGUGGGGUAAAAGCCCACCAAGGCGACGAUCAGUAGCUGGUCUGAGAGGACGAUGAGCCACACUGGGACUGAGAAACGGCCCAGACUCCUCCGGGGGGCAGCAGUGGGGAAUUUUGGAAAAUGGGGGCAACCCGGAUCCAGCAAUGCCGCGUGAGUGAAGAAGGCCUUCGGGUUUUAAAGCUCUUCUGUCAGGGAAGAAACACCGGCUCUAACACAGUCUGGGAAUGACGGUACCUGAAGAAUAAGCACCGGCUAACUACGUGCCAGCCGCCGCAGUAA
rnacentral:rRNA from 1 species